AGAGUUUGAUCAUGGCUCAGGAUGAACGCUGGCGGCAUGCCUAAUACAUGCAAGUCGAACGGAGGAAUCGAGAAAGCUUGCUUUUUUGAGGAAUCAGUGGCGAACGGGUGAGUAACACGUAGGUAACCUGCCCAGAUCACGGGGAUAACGGUUGGAAACGACAGCUAAGACCGGAUAGGUGAUGGCGAGGCAUCUUGUCAUCAUGAAAAGAGCUGAAAGGCUCUGGAGCUGGAUGGACCUGCGGCGCAUUAGCUAGUUGGUGAGGGUAACGGCCCACCAAGGCGAUGAUGCGUAGCCGGCCUGAGAGGGUGCACGGCCACAUUGGGACUGAGACACGGCCCAAACUCCUACGGGAGGCAGCAGUAGGGAAUUUUCGUCAAUGGGGGGAACCCUGAACGAGCAAUGCCGCGUGAGUGAAGAAGGUCUUCGGAUCGUAAAGCUCUGUUGUAAGAGAAAAAGGGCGCAUAUAGGAAAUGAUAUGCGAUUGAUGGUAUCUUACCAGAAAGCCACGGCUAACUACGUGCCAGCAGCCGCGGUAAUACGUAGGUGGCGAGCGUUAUCCGG
rnacentral:rRNA from 1 species